CCUACGGGAGGCUGCCGUGGGGAAUAUUGGGCAAUGGGCGCGAGCCUGACCCAGCAACGCCGCGUGAAGGAAGAAGGCUUUCGGGUUGUAAACUUCUUUUCUCAGGGACGAAGCAAGUGACGGUACCUGAGGAAUAAGCCACGGCUAACUACGUGCCAGCAGCCGCGGUAAUACGUAGGUGGCAAGCGUUAUCCGGAUUUACUGGGUGUAAAGGGCGUGUAGGCGGGAAAGCAAGUCAGAUGUGAAAACCAUGGGCUCAACCUGUGGCCUGCAUUUGAACCUGUUUUUCUUGAGUACUGGAGAGGCAGACGGAAUUCCUAGUGUAGCGGUGAAAUGCGUAGAGAUUAGGAGGAACACCAGUGGCGAAGGCGGUCUGCUGGACAGCAACUGACGCUGAGGCGCGAAAGCGUGGGGAGCAAACAGGAUUAGAUACCCGAGUAGUC
rnacentral:rRNA from 1 species